rnacentral:rRNA from 1 species
AGCGAACGUUAGCGGCGCGCUUAACACAUGCAAGUCGCACGAGAAAGGGCCUCGGCCCCGGUACAGUGGCGCACGGGUGAGUAACACGUGGGUGACCUUCCCUCGAGUGGUGGAUAACCUGUCGAAAGGCGGGCUAAUACAGCGUACGAUCCGACGGAUGCGUCCGUGGGAUGAAAGCAGGCCUCUGCAUGCACGCCUGCGCUCGAGGAUGGGCCCGCGUCCCAUCAGCUAGUUGGUGAGGUAACGGCUCACCAAGGCGACGACGGGUAGCUGGUCUGAGAGGAUGGCCAGCCACACUGGAACUGAGAUACGGUCCAGACUCCUACGGGAGGCAGCAGUGGGGAAUCUUGCGCAAUGGACGAAAGUCUGACGCAGCGACGCCGCGUGGGCGACGAAGGCCCUCGGGUUGUAAAGCCCUGUGGGGCGGGACGAACACACGAGACUCGAACAGGGUAACGUGCUGACGGUACCGCCUUAGCAAGCACCGGCUAACUCUGUGCCAGCCGCCGCCGUAAUAC